ACGACUUUGGUACUACAACGUCUUUGAUUACCAAACAUGUCUUUGAUCGAAUGAUGAAAAAAAUGCAUAUAAAACUCAUUCUAUAUAUCGGGCGUGUCUGAUUACCACUAUGCAAUCUCUGCAUGGGAAUUGCCAAGCCUUUAAGAUUGAAAUUAAGAAUGAAAUAGGAAGAUUAAAAUUUAAAAAAACAUAUAAUCUAUG
rnacentral:lncRNA from 1 species